ACUUAAAUUGAAGAGUUUGAUCAUGGCUCAGAUUGAACGCUGGCGGCAGGCCUAACACAUGCAAGUCGAGCGGUAGCACAGAGAGCUUGCUCUCGGGUGACGAGCGGCGGACGGGUGAGUAAUGUCUGGGAAACUGCCUGAUNGGAGGGGGGUAACUACUGGAAACGGUAGCUAAUACCGCAUAACGUCGCAAGACCAAAGUGGGGGACCUUCGGGCCUCAUGCCAUCAGAUGUGCCCAGAUGGGAUUAGCUAGUAGGUGGGGUAACGGCUCACCUAGGCGACGAUCCCUAGCUGGUCUGAGAGGAUGACCAGCCACACUGGAACUGAGACACGGUCCAGACUCCUACGGGAGGCAGCA
rnacentral:rRNA from 1 species